GCGCCCAUGCGGGAGCGCGCGCCGCCCCGCGCGGCCGCGGGCCUCAGUCACCUGGUUCAGGCUGGAGUGUCUGCCGCUUUCCUCCCGGAUACGUGACUGCGGCUUUUCGGGGUUUUUCGUCUUGAAACCGAAGGUGGGAGGGCUGGAGCCAGCUAGAUGCCUAAGAGACUCUCUGCGGUGGAAACUGGAAGUUUAGGGAGGUGGAGCAGCGAGAAGAAAGAAGGGCGAGUCUCUGGAGCCGGCUGUAACCCAGCAACUGGCUCGGGCCGAAGGAUAAACAGUAGCUGCUGCAGCGGACACAUCUCCGCGCGCGAGGCGGGAACUCCGAUGGCCACACCUGCGCCGCGUAACCCGAGGGGGUAAAAUACAGCUUGUAAUAAUACACACCAUAUAGACCAUGACAGAUGUAUUAUUAAGAUUUCACUGAAGACGGAAAAACCUAAAAGUGUGACUGCAGGUUUAAGAAAAUGAAGGACGUGUCAAAAUGUCAAGAAUUUUCUCAUUUUACCGGAGCUCUAAAGAAUCUGUCCUAAUGGCACUUUAAAAAGUUCAGGUUUCACUCUUUCACGGCAGGUAUCAGUACCUACAAGCACCACAGGCUCAUUCUUCUUUUUGGUAGUCACCCACUGACAAGUCACAUGGACUGAACUCUCAGCGGGUCUCAAAGCAGUGAUGCGUGCCCUUCAAUGCAUGAUGAUAUCUAAAUGAAUUUUCUGAUGCAACAGUUUAAUUUAAUCAGCUUUUAAUGGACAAUUAAUGUCUUGAAAUGUAGUAUAAUAGAAAGAUCUUAUUCUCAGGUACUACCUGGGUGAAGAGAGCAGAAACUGAUGGGGGCUGGUGGUAAAAAGUAGACUAAGAAGGACACUGAGAGAUGCUGCCAUGUUUAUUUUGAAAGAUGAAAGAUGAAGACAAAGAUGAAAAUUAAUAGAAAGCAGAUAAUUUCCGAUUCUUUCCAUACCUUGCAAAUGGGACAAGAUAUAAAUCCAAAUGUUAUCCUUGGACCAAGCCAUCUGUUUUCCAAAACUCGUCGACAGCACUGUAAGUGGAAUAUGUGACUACAAUCCAGCUUAAAUAAAGAAAAGAGAAGGAUAUAAGCGAAUGUAAUAACAACAAACACGAGUAACUGGCAGAUUAGUCAAUGUAAGGUGCUACUUAGGGCAGGUAAGAGAAAAAUCUAGAAAUUCAGUACACUGAAACUUCGGCACUUCUCUAUUAUUCAUGUGACAUUAUGAACGAGAUCUUCAGCUUCUCCCAAUUUUUACCAUUCAUGUAUUAACGCCACCUUAUAGAGAGUAAGCUGGGCUAGGGAGAAAUGUGAAAUUAUUCAAUUUUGUGUCUCACAGGAAGAAAAGGAAACUACUGAUUUAAAGAUUUAAAAUUUAUUUUUGAGAAUAUUUAUUGUCUUGGAAUCACAAGAACUGGAAAUAUAAACAAACAACCAGUAAAUGUUAAAAAAAACUUAUUUAGCAAAUUGUAACUUCUAUAAUAUUACUAACAUAAUAGAUAUAUGUAUAUAUAUUAUAUAUAGAGGUAUGUAUCAUGCAUAGAUCAAUUACAUAAUGCUACAAAAGGCCAUGCUGGAUUCUGGAAAUUAAGAAGAGAGAAGCUACUGGAUAAUCUAUUUCUUUUCUCCCUUAUGAACAUUUUAUACUUUCAAUUAUUAUAUAGGCUUACACAAAUCACAGAUUAAAGCUCACUGCACAAAAUGGAGACAGAAUAUAAAGAGACAGCAUUUGCUCUGUAAUAAACUGGGGGAUAUUAGUGGGAUAUUUUCUCCCAAUGGUAUAAGAAAGAUUCAGUCGUUUGUUUAUUUGACAUGUAUAUUUAUAUUUCCUAUUGAAAAAUCUAGGCACACUUAACACGUUAAAAGCGGAGACAACCUGAAUGGCCGGUGCCGCGGAGAGCGCUUCUGUGAAACAGAUCAUGCACAUGUCGUCAGCGUCCUGCUUCAGGGUUACGGCAUUUUUAUCACAGCCGUGUAGACAGGGCAGACAGCGCUCUUCGUUUUUAACACCUCCGCAUGGAUGGCCACAAGGAUGCGUCUUGCUACAGGCUAUCUUAGCAUAUUCCUGUUAAAGAUGAAUUACAACGGCACAGAAAGUAUCAAAAAAGGCACACAUCCUGGUAAUUACAUCCAUUAUAUUAAUUUUCCAAGGUACUUUCCCCCGGGAAAUAGAUAUAAGGCUAAGUAACCACAAAGUAGUUAUUUUUAUUCUUUGUUUGCAUAUAACUUAGGAUUAUUAACAAAGUCUAAUGUGAUUUAAAAAAAUUUCACUCCACAUUAAAGGGAAUGCUGAUUAAAAAAAGUGAGCUGCGAUUUUAAUCUAUUUGUUAUCAUGCAUAGCCAUGAAGCAAAAAAAAUUCCUGACAUAUAAUCAUCCAAUCACCACCUACCUCUCACCAAACUGGGGAUUAAAAAAAAUACAGGUAUCCUUCACUAUCUGGACACUAUCCAAAUUCUUGUUAACUAAAUUGAGGAAUCAAAAAUAUUUGGAUAGCAUGGAAUGUGUACAGAUGUUCAUGCAUAAACAACUUUAAGGAAACAAGUGAAUAAAAUGUGUAACAAGCAAAGAAAGGCAGCCCACAGAUUUUUAUCUGCUUCUAGCACAGAAGUAAAUGUUAAAUAUAUAUGAUGGUGGUAGUUGGGAAAUACACACAAGAGACUGAUUUGGGUUUGAGAGCUUUAACUGAUCCAUUUUCCAGCUUUGAUAAAGCAUUUAACUCUUGACAUGGGUAAUACACUAAUUUAGAAAACAAAAGUGAUGCUGAGCUCAGAGUCCUAUUUAUAUGAAGUGAAGGUGUCAUGAGGGAACACAUGCUACUCCUUACAUGAUGGCCUAACUAACUAUACACGCACCUGGCAAUCUGCAUCAGAACAAACACUGCCAACAGCAGACAACUCUGUUCCACUCCUGGAACCACAGAAACGGCAUGCUUCCGAGCUACUUGUGGUGGGUUUACCUAGGUUCAAGCAGAAAAGGAAAGUCCUCCUUAAGUGUAUGUUUUCUACAUAUUUUAAUAUAACUAACUGAAGAAAACAAAUCAAGCAAGCAGGGAUAUGUAUCAGUUGCUAUCACUGAGAAAUCAGCCCGGCAGUUUUGCAGCUGAAGGGUUGUAAGCUGCCCUAAUUAUAAAGUAGAUAAUCACACACAAAAAAGGAUAAGAGACUAAAGAGCUACCUGAAGCCAAAUAAAUUAUUAACUGAUUUAUUUAUACUUCUUCAGUACACAGAAACCGACUAGGCCUCUAGUUAAGACAGCAGGUCGAGCAGCUAUGGUAAGCCCCCUCAUCACAAAAGCACAAUGCCAGACAAAAUAUAACAACAAAAAUUAAAUAAAGAUACAUAGAAGAAAGGGAAAUCAUUAGGUACCUUUCCCAAUGGCAACAUUACAAGGUAUAGGAGAAAACCUAUCAGCAGAGAAUAUGAAACGUGAAUAACAGAAGAAUUCCCACCCAGGGAACUAAAGAUAAUAGAAACAUUUCAAAAGGAAUUUAAAUAUGUUUGAAAUAGUUAAAGGAGGAAUGGAAUCAAUAAAACAAAGAACAAAAGGAAAAAGAACAAGAUUUGAAAAACACAGACCAAGCUCAUUUUAAAACACAGGUACAAAAUUCUAAAUAUGAUAAGUGAACUUAGCAAUAUUUACAGAAAAUGCUUUUUUAAAAAGGAUAGUUUAGGUCAUAAAUACAAUGAUGGUUCAAACACUAGAACAUUCAUUAAUGUAAUAUGGUAUGGAGGGAAAAUAGGAGAAAAAAAAAUCAGCUGUGAGAAAAGAAAAGACCAUGCUCUUGCAGCAUGAAAAGUUAUUCAUAUUUAAAUUUGUCAGAUUUACAUCUAACACCAAAAUCAGAAAUUUGUGUCAGAUAAACGGCAGACUACAGAGGUGCUGAAAAUUGAGAAUCUGUAAGAUUCAAUGUACCUUUAAGCUGGGAAUACACCAGACUUUAGAAAAAAAAUCAAAAUGAAAAAUGCAUAUUUUGGAGAUAAAACGACUUGCCCAAGGUCACACAGCUAGUUCAUGGCAAACCAACUUUCCCGACUUUUAAUCUAAUGUUCUACAAUAGAACACUGAACACUGUCUAGUAAAUAUAAAAAUACAGUGAUCAAUGAUCUCAUCAUCACUUAAUAGAAAACACUCAAAAUUAUUCACAUUAAAUAAUUAAAUUAAACAUCUAGUUUAAUCGUAAUCAGUAGGGAUGGUUCAAUCUAUUUGUCAGGCACGGUUCACUCUUAAAUCCUUUUACCUGUGUGUUCUCGGAAUUCCACCAUUGCCUUCAUGGUUUUAGAAUCUGCUAGUGCCAUCAACCAAAACAAUUUGGUUCUACCACAACCUUCAUGAAGGUCAACCUUUAUAGCUUCUUCUUCUUCUUUGAAGACCUAUUGUAUCAUUAAAGAAAAGGGGAAAAUGUAUCACUCUGAAAGAAGUAUAAAUUUUAAUUAUUCAAUAAUGAAAACGGCUUUUAUUUAUUAAGCAGUCUAAGAAAUUCCAGGUAUUUCUAGUCUUCUCUUUAAUCUUCACAACAGCCCCAUUUUUAUAAAUGUGGAAACCAAGUCUCAGAGGUUAAACAACAUGCUUGAUUUACACAGCUGGUAAAUGAGACAGCUGGGAACUCCACCAGGGUCUUUGAUUCCAAGGUUCAUUUUUCUCCCAUUACGCCAAGUCUCCUUCCCACAUUUAUUUCUUACUGAAUAUAUUUUAUGUUACAGAUACUAUUCUGCAUGUAAAUGCAGAAAUUUUCACCUGUC